UAGGGAAUUUUGGGCAAUGGGCGAAAGCCUGACCCAGCAACGCCGCGUGAAGGAUGAAGUAUUUCGGUAUGUAAACUUCGAAAGAAUAGGAAGAAUAAAUGACGGUACUAUUUAUAAGGUCCGGCUAACUACGUGCCAGCAGCCGCGGUAAUACGUAGGGACCAAGCGUUGUUCGGAUUUACUGGGCGUAAAGCGCGUGUAGGCGGGUCGUUAAGUUGGGGGUGAAAUCCCGAGGCUCAACCUCGGAACUGCCUUCAAAACUGGCGACCUGGACCUAAGUAGAGGCAAGUGGAAUUGCGAGUGUAGAGGUGAAAUUCGUAGAUAUUCGCAGGAACACCAGUGGCGAAGGCGACUUGCUGGACUUAUGGUGACGCUGAGACGCGAAAGCGUGGGGAGCAAACAGGAUUAGAUACCCCAGUAGUCCCUGAGCGGGCUGGCAAGGCGCAU
rnacentral:rRNA from 1 species